UACGAAGGGGGGCUAGCGUUGCUCGGAAUCACUGGGCGUAAAGGGUGCGUAGGCGGGUCUUUAAGUCAGGGGUGAAAUCCUGGAGCUCAACUCCAGAACUGCCUUUGAUACUGAGGAUCUUGAGUUCGGGGAGAGGUGAGUGGAACUGCGAGUGUAGAGGUGAAAUUCGUAGAUAUCGGGAAGAACACCCGUGGCGAAGGCGGCUCUCUGGGACGGUACUGACGCUGAGACGCGAAAGCGUGGGGAGCGAACAGG
rnacentral:rRNA from 1 species